rnacentral:tRNA from 1 species
AUUUAUUUAGUAUAAAAAAUACAUCUGACUUCCAAUUAGAAAAUUCGUAAUAAUAACGAAAUAAAUA